UCGCCGACGCCGGUUCCAAUGGUUCGGCGUCAGAACCGGCGUCAGCGAAAAAUCGGCGUCGCGAUUUUGACGCCGUUACUGGAGAUGCUCUUAUUAGUUUGGCUCGCCAUUGUUUUGGCUCGAGCAGUUUAGCUUAUAAAAUAAAAAAAUAAAAAUUCUAGGUUCGAUGUGUGGGUUUUUUUCAUUUGUGGAGAUUGAUGAGCACGUGCAAAGGGAGAUCAUGAACCACAGAUACUUAAAAUGAGGUUCGUUUCUAACUCUUCUAUUUCUUCGAAUUUUUACAAUAUCAUCUUACACAUAUAUUUUUACUUUGGCGUUGGGGGAUGUUUUGUAUUUUUAUUUUGUAGCAGAUUUUUAAUAGUUAUUUUGCUAAACGUUAGCUAACUAUCCUCGAUAGUUUAACAUUUUGCUUCUUUAUAAAAAAAAUCUUACACAUAUAUGAAUGUUUUAGGCACGCUUCUUUUUGUCAACAGCUCAUAUCCGGAGUUAGUUACUGUCAUUCCAUGCAAAUUUGCUGAACACAUUGUUGGAUGAUAGCCCAUCUCCGCACCUCAAAAUAUGCGAUUUCGGAUAUUCUAAGUCGUCGGUUUUCCAUUCUCAACCCAAAUCGACUGUUGGGACACCCGCCUACAUCGCUCCCGAGGUCCUCUCGAGAAAAGAGUACGAUGGCAAUGUACCAAUAAAACUACGUCGUUUAAUUAUUUGUUAUGCUCCAAAUGUCCCCACACUAGUUCAUUUAUUUCUAAUAUCUAGUGAACUGAUAAUGGAAUACUAUUUUUUUGGCCCCUUAAGGUUGCAGAUGUUUGGUCAUGUGGGGUUACACUCUAUGUAAUGCUAGUUGGUGCUUAUCCAUUUGAGGAUUCCAAUGAUCCAAGAAAUUUUAAGAAAACAAUCAAUGAGAGAUUAU